AAGAAUACCGGCUUCGCAGCCCAAUAUUCUCACCCUCUGUAUACUAAACUUUGUUGCUUUGGCAGGCCCCUGGCUUCAGCUGGAUUGCGCCUGCCAGAGGACCCCUAACUCUUGAAUUUCCCUGCUGUCUGAGUACUAUCUAAUAGUUA
rnacentral:misc_RNA from 1 species